rnacentral:rRNA from 1 species
GAUCCUGGCUCGGGACGAACGCUGGCGGCGUGCUUAACACAUGCAAGUCGAACGGAAAGAGAUGAAAGAGCUUACUCUUUUAUUAAUUUCAGUGGCAAACGGGUGAGUAACACGUAAACAACCUGCCUUAAGGAUGGGGAUAACAGACGGAAACGACUGCUAAUACCGAAUACGUUCUAAGCAUCGCAUGGUGCAUAGAAGAAAGGGUGGCCUCUACAAGAAAGCUAUCGCCUUAAGAGGGGUUUGCGACUGAUUAGG